rnacentral:rRNA from 1 species
AGGGCCCACCACUACACCCACUCCUCGGUGUUGUUCCCCCAAUCCCUUCUCCCCCGCACAUCUCGCUCGGCCGUCGUGGGUUGCAUCGCCGCCGCAGAAAUUGGAGCGCCCGCCGGCUGCCGCACAGGUCGCGGGUGGUGGUUGAGCGCGCGCGCGGGGCGGAGGCGCGAGAGGCUGUGGUGGUGCGCGCGGGGACUGCAGAAGAGAGGCGGAGCGGGUGAAGGUCGCAGCGGUGCUCUGUCUCCAGUCCGCCAAGGGGUGCGGGGUGAAGGUCGCCGGCGACGCUGCGUUUCCGGCGAGGGGACUUGCCACGGAGUUUCUGAGCAUCAACAAUGUCUGAGACAAGCAAAAAAAAGUGACGGUCAGGUCGCACAAGCAACCCAACAGGGUGUAGAUGAAAUAGAGCGCAGGUACGCCCACCACAGCAACAAAACACGCCGGUAAUUGUCUACAAGUGUAUGCGCACUAAAGAGAUCAUCUAUCGCGGGAAGCACCCAUCAGACAUAGAUAGUAAUACCAGUGCACCAGAUGCUGAUUUAGAAGGCAAGGAUAUCAUGCAAGAGGAGGAAUCGAAGCCAAAACGGCAGAGGACAGGCGAAAACGAGUAGGAACUAAUGGAUGGAUCAAGCAAAAAGGGCAUUCAAGAAGAUCAUCAUGCAGUUAAUCGUGAUGCUGAUCCCUCGCAUGCUAUUGAAUAUCAUCAAGAGGGCUAGAGAAGCACACCCUUUAUUGGGUACCAGCAUCGGGGAAGAAAGGAGAUUGCUGCCCGUGGCAAACGUCCGCUAGACAUCAACAACAAUCUGAGUGUUUCCACAGAUGGUGAUGAAAAUGUUGAGAAAAACACUGCUGUGGAACAACCACCAAAAUCAAAACGUCAAAAGACCGGAUCUAACGAGGAUAAGAGAAACAGGGCAUCGCCUGCAAGGCUUUUCAAGCUGAAUAAACUUCUUGUACCUGUUCAACAAGGCCAAGCUCAAGUCACUUUCAGUCAAUUUCUGACACCAGCCUUAUACAGAUCAUGGGGAAAGAGAAAGGGAGGCAUGUGUUCUUCAGUAACCCAGGGGACAGGGAUGAAAGAAGCACACAACCAUGGGGAAAAGUGAAAGCUAAAUCUGACCUUUUUCUGUGCUUCUUCUACCCUUAGUCAAUAUGAAUUGCCUGGAGAACAAAUCCUAAACCAACCACCAUUGGAGGACUGUGGAGAGUUUUCUGGAUCUGGGAGUUGUCCCUUUGUGGCUUGGGAGAGAGAAGAAGAUGGGGCUGGGCGAUUUGGUGGGGAGAAAAGGAGACGCCCAGGGGGGUGGAGGAGGGAAACACGUGGGGGAGGGAGGAUCAGGUGAGUUCCGCGGCUCGAUGGUUGGGUGCCAGGAAUCGGGAGCGGGGGCCAGGUACUUUCCUAUUCUGGAUAGGAGGGACAGAAAAUUACUAUUUUGGGAGGGCUGCCAGGGAACGCUAGGGAGCAGCCGGCUGCUCCUAGACACGUCCAUCUAUCUUUAUGUUAAAUGCCUUUUUAAGAUCUUACUUACAGAUAAAACUAGCAAAGUUGUUUAGUAUAAAAAAAGGUGAUUGAACGGGGAUUUGAACCACGUAGCACUAAUCUCUACGUUCCAACAAGCCAAGUUCUUACAUACAACGAGCCAAGUUUUUUUUUUCAAGAUUUUUAUAGUACUUUUCACGUGUAGGCAACAAUAUGUUUUUUUUUUCUUUUGCGAAAAGACAACAAUAGUUAUGUACUGUACAACUUAAUGUCAAUGUAUAGCAAACAUUUAUGAAAUCUCCUAAGAAAAUUGUGCCCAUCUUAUGAAUCAAUAACAUUGUUCCAUGUCCAUUUGGAAGAAUUGUCUACCAUAUUUUGAUAUUAUUAUCAUUUUUUCUAAUAGGUUGCAACUAGAAGUGAAGUUAUCCCUAAGUAUCUUUUGACAUUUUUGUCUAUUUCUUGGAUAUGAGCUAAAAAAACAUAAUUCCUUAAAUAUCUUUUUUGAAAUGUUUAAACCUUAUUUGACUUACAUAUACAACAAAUUGCACUACCUCCAGUAAGCACACAUAAAUUUAUUUAAACCAUAGAAAAUUUAAAUCAUCUAAAAAAUUAUUGAAACUCCUACAAACGAAAAUAUAUUUAUUAUAGUACAUGUGACAAUUUUAUAGGGGUAUGCCACAUAUUUUAAUUAAAAAAAAGAACACCACAUUAAUGGAACUCGAACCUGAGACAUAAAUUUUAAGUGGUUAGCACCUUCGAACUUGGCAACUUGUAUUUAAAAAAAUGGUUAACAUUUUUUUGAGAAAUAAAUUCAGACAUCUAUUUUGAAAAAAAUUGUCAUGUAUUUAAAAAGUGUUAUACAUGUAUAAAAAUGUGGCAAAUUUGACAAUUUUGACCUCGAGACGAAAUCAAUUCACAGAAUGAACUGCCCGUGAAACUAUUUCACUCCCCUGACCUUUUUGUGUAGCGCCCGCUACGACGGCGCCACACUCUACGGUGCAGCGCCUAGCUCGGGGGCGUUGCACGCCAGUCCACCGUGGCAGCCCCUGGGCCCGCAUCCAGCAGUGCAGCGCCUCCGAGCUAGGCGCCACACGUGUAAUGUGCAGCACCUCCGAGCUAGGCGCCACACAUUUAAAGUGCAACGCCCAGCUCAUAGGCGCUGCACUGUGACUUAUCCAGCCACUUGGCUGCCCCCCCACUCCUCCCACCCCACACACUCAACCCGAGCUUUGGCCCCUCUCCUCCUCUCAAAUCCUCUCCCAAAUCUUGCAUAUUCGAAGAAUUUGUCCGUGGAUUUCGAAGUCAAACCCUCCCUCAAGGUAAUCUUCUCCGAACCCCUUGUUUUGAUCCAAGUAAUGUUAUCAAAUUGCUCAUUUUUUGCUAGUUUGGGAAACCCUAGUUUUGUUUGGAUCUAGAGAUUUGCAUGGAGAUGUGAGAUGUUUGUUUGCCAAUUUUCCUAUGAUUAGGCUUUGUUAGUAUGUUAGAGUUAUUCUUAUGGGUGUUCUUAUGUUGGUGCUAGGGUUAGGUUUAGGGCUAGGGUUAGGGUUAGGGUUAUGGUUAGAGUUAGGUUGUUGUUUGAUAUAUAUUUUAGGGUUUGUAUUCCGUGUUAAUCCUUGGUACUCAUGGAAGCAAUGUUACGUUGUGUUGUUUGAAUGCUUAUAGGGAUGGGAAGAACAUGUGUGUUUGUUCAUCAUGGGGACAAAGACGCAUUCUUGAAAGGCAAUAUUGAACCUGACCCGGAUGAGCUUGACAUGGUGUUUGAUAGUAGUCCUAGCUAUGCGAAGCUCUUGCAACAAGUGAGGAAAGAUUUAAAUUGGAUGGACCCUAGUGAUAUCGUUGAGUUGGAGGGAAGGCAUAAUGUAGGUUUUGGAAUGCACAUCCGUUGGAAGACAAUGCGUGUCAACUCGAAGCAACGUUGGGUUGCAUACAAGGAAACGGUGGCCGAAUCACUUGACAAGGCUCUUGAGUUAUUUGCAACGAAGAAGGUUGAUUCAAGUUUGCAUUUGGACUUGAACCGGAACCCCUCCCCUUUGGUUGAUAGUAGCCCCCCACCCUUGAAGCGAGAUGAAAUUGUUGAACCUCUUUUGACCCAAGAAGUGGGGCCAACAUUGAGUCCGUUUACAAACAACCAAGAUGAAGCUUUGCAAGAGGACAAUGAUGAGUAUGCGGACGAUGACAAUGAAGUUGAUCUCCAUGACAACAAUGUGGGUGAUCUCGACAAAUAUCAUUUGCAAGAGACAAUGGACCAUUCCAUCCCUUUUUCCCGUGCAUAUGCAUCGGACUCGGAUGACGAUGGUCCCGAUGAACAAGUUGAUGCGGAGGGGUUCACGGUGAAGGAGGCCGAAGCUUUCGAGAAGGUAUUCGGUCGGGAUCAUUGGACUACAUUGUUCAAGGAUGUUAGUCUCGCGUAUGAAGCCGUGGUAGAUGGUGGCCAAUGUGUAUCUCUUGGGGUUAGGCCAAGCUCUCACCGUGAUUUGGGAGACGACAAGAACCGGAUUGCUAAAGGGUCUAAGUUCGAAACCUUGUUGGAAUUGAAGAUGUGGCUCGACAACUACUCGGUUACGCAUUAUCGUCCACACAAGGUGGUGAACUCGGACGUCAAUGUGCGCUACACGGUUGCAUGUGCAAGUGAAGAUGAAAUAUGUCCGUGGAUUGUGCGUGCAAGACCAUGGAAAGGAGGUCCAACUUGGCAUGUAGUGAGUUGUGUGCCAACUCACAUGUGCCAAGGAAAAAGGGUGGAUGGCAAGAUCGUGUCCCAAGACCACAAACAACUCACGUCCGAGUUCAUCGCUUACAGGCUCUCUCCAACUCAAUAUCCACACUUCCAACAAUGAGCGUCCAACAUGUCAUUGAUCUUGUGAAAUCCAUCUUUCAUUACAAGGUGAAGUACGGCAAGGCAUGGAAGGCGAAGCAAGCCGCAUUUAAGAUGUUGUAUGGUACUUGGGAGGAAGCAUACAACUGAAUCCCUAGGUUGUUGUUAGCCAUGGCCACAACAAACCCGGGCAUGGUUCAUGUGGUCAAGCCUCAUGGGCACCAAACAACGGUUCAUGAAGGAAGGAAAGUCUGAGUAUUUGGCCGUGCAUUUUGGGCGUUCGAGCAAUGCGUGAGGGCUUUCGAACACUGUAGGCCGGUCAUCGCCAUUGAUGGCACGUUCUUGACCGGACAACGACAUGUAGACUCGAGCAUAUGUCUUGACCGUGUCCUCAUUAGCAUCCUCAGGGCAAGUACCAAAGUGAAAUGUAAUCCACGUGAAAGGGGCAC